GUGGGGAAUAUUGGACAAUGGGGGGAACCCUGAUCCAGCCAUGCCGCGUGUGUGAAGAAGGCCUUUUGGUUGUAAAGCACUUUAAGCGAGGAGGAGGCUACCGAGAUUAAUACUCUUGGAUAGUGGACGUUACUCGCAGAAUAAGCACCGGCUAACUCUGUGCCAGCAGCCGCGGUAAUACAGAGGGUGCACGCGUUAAUCGGAUUUACUGGGAGUAAAGCGCGCGUAGGUGGCCAAUUAAGUCAAAUGUGAAAUCCCCGAGGUUAACUUGGGAAUUGCAUUCGAUACUGGUUGGCUAGAGUAUGGGAGAGGAUGGUAGAAUUCCAGGUGUAGCGGUGAAAUGCGUAGAGAUCUGGAGGAAUACCGAUGGCGAAGGCAGCCAUCUGGCCUAAUACUGACACUGAGGUGCGAAAGCAUGGGGAGCAAACAGGAUUAGAUACCCCAGUAGUCC
rnacentral:rRNA from 1 species